rnacentral:tRNA from 1 species
GGAAGUGGCUCAAUGGUAGAGUAGCGGUCUCCAAAACCGUAGGUUGGGGGUUCGAGUCCUCUCUUCC